rnacentral:lncRNA from 1 species
CCAUAUCAGCAAGCAUCAAUAGCGUAUUUUGUGCACUAUAAGGCGCACCAUUUUAUAAGGCACACUAUCAAAAAAUGUCUAUUUUCUGGUCUAUUUUCUAUUUUUCUUAUAAGGUGCACUGGAUUAUAAAGAGCAUUUUAGGAGACACUAUAAGGAACAGCUAACUGAGCAGGUCUGGCUGCUGGGUGGUGGGGUAGCUAACUAAGCUCACUGACAUCUGACAUCAUCUGCAUAAACACAGUCCCUUUUUGUUCUAUUUUUUCAUUGGUCUAAUUUAAGACACUGAAGCUGUGUCAAUGGAUGAAACCUGUUAUGCUACAUCACCAACAGGGUGGCCUCACUGAAUGCCGCCAUCUUGGAUUCAACUUCAGUGUUUCAAAUGGGGAGCUAGGUGGUGAAUGAAGGAUGGUGUAUUUUAUAGACAGAGUGGAGGUCAUCCUCAUUUCCUGUAAAAGCUCAAAGCUCUGUGCAAUCUCAAUCCAGCACUGCUGAACCAAAAAAGUCAACCAGAUCAAUAAGCACAUAAUAAAAAAACAUAAAAACAAUUAAAUCUGGUAUUU